GGGCCCGUAAAGGUUUCGACGGGGAUUUUGCGGCAUGAUAAGCGUGGCGGGCUGAGUAAUCCCGUAAAACUACUCAACCUAAAAAAAUAAACGACAACAAUCAAGUUGCUCUGGCAGCCUGAAUAAGGCUGUGCCGCAGGACUGCGGUCCUGCCCGUUCCCGCGAUGAGGAUCACGGCAUCGCACGGAGCGUCAUGCAGUGAUGAACGUGCACCGGUGUUUUGCGGUUGAACCGGUCAUGAAAAAAACAGCUACCUGCGUUCGCAGUCUGUCUGCUGACGGCUUACAAGGGGAAUUUUAAAUAACAGACUGUCCACGAAGAAAGUCAUGUCAAGAGGUUUUCGGACAGGGGUUCGACUCCCCUCGGGUCCAUAG
rfam:Clostridium sp. CAG:448 genomic scaffold, scf180